GAGCGGAUGACGGGAGCUUGCUCCUUGAUUCAGCGGCGGACGGGUGAGUAAUGCCUAGGAAUCUGCCUGGUAGUGGGGGACAACGUUUCGAAAGGAACGCUAAUACCGCAUACGUCCUACGGGAGAAAGCAGGGGACCUUCGGGCCUUGCGCUAUCAGAUGAGCCUAGGUCGGAUUAGCUAGUUGGUGGGGUAAUGGCUCACCAAGGCGACGAUCCGUAACUGGUUUGAGAGGAUGAUCAGUCACACUGGAACUGAGACACGGUCCAGACUCCUACGGGAGGCAGCAGUGGGGAAUAUUGGACAAUGGGCGAAAGCCUGAUCCAGCCAUGCCGCGUGUGUGAAGAAGGUCUUCGGAUUGUAAAGCACUUUAAGUUGGGAGGAAGGGCAGUAAGUUAAUACCUUGCUGUUUUGACGUUACCGACAGAAUAAGCACCGGCUAACUCUGUG
rnacentral:rRNA from 1 species